CCUACGGGUGGCAGCAGUGGGGAAUAUUGGACAAUGGGCGAAAGCCUGAUCCAGCCAUGCCGCGUGUGUGAAGAAGGCCUUCGGGUUGUAAAGCACUUUCAGUGGGGAAGAAAGCCUUGGGGCUAAUACCCUCGAGGAAGGACAUCACCCACAGAAGAAGCACCGGCUAACUCCGUGCCAGCAGCCGCGGUAAUACGGAGGGUGCGAGCGGUAAUCGGAAUUACUGGGCGUAAAGCGCGCGUAGGCGGUCUGAUAAGCCGGUUGUGAAAGCCCCGGGCUCAACCUGGGAACGGCAUCCGGAACUGUCAGGCUAGAGUGCAGGAGAGGAAGGUAGAAUUCCCGGUGUAGCGGUGAAAUGCGUAGAGAUCGGGAGGAAUACCAGUGGCGAAGGCGGCCUUCUGGACUGACACUGACGCUGAGGUGCGAAAGCGUGGGUAGCAAACAGGAUUAGAUACCCGGGUAGUC
rnacentral:rRNA from 1 species